rnacentral:ncRNA from 1 species
AGUGAACUAAGUCAAUUUUUUCACUCAUAAAAGAGUUGGAUAGCCACGGAUCUAAGGUGUUAACUAGGAUAGCCGGGUUGCAACA